rnacentral:piRNA from 1 species
UGAUAAUUUAAAAAGAAGAUGUGUACAG